GAGCCCCCAAAACACGAUUCGUUUUGGAUUCGUUAGGUAGUAUAUUUGACCAACAGAUCCUGAAAUGUGAUGUACAGCUUAUAAUUGAUGUGGUUGGUUCGCAUCCCACGGAACAAGCAUGUGAGGCAGAAUGUCACAAGAUCAUCGCAGAUGGACACUUCUUGAAUUAUGGCUGCCCACUCGUUUGCCUAGGGUUGGAGAGCUUCGCCCACACUUUACAUUUGGUGCCUGACCCCGUCGACGCAAAUGACCCUUGUGGCAGACCUCCCCCGAGUCUGGCCACUACAACUGCUUCAGAAGGUCGCUGAAAUCGAAUGUGGCUUGCUGUAAUAAAUGGAUAUUUAAAAUGAAAA